rnacentral:rRNA from 1 species
UACGUAGGUGACCAGCGUUGUCCGGAUUUACUGGGCGUAAAGAGCGCGCAGGCGGUCGUGCAAGUCGCGUGUGAAAGCCCCCGGCUCAACUGGGGAGGGUCACGCGAUACUGCUCGACUUGAAGGCAGGAGAGGGAAGCGGAAUUCCCGGUGUAGUGGUGAAAUGCGUAGAUAUCGGGAGGAACACCAGUGGCGAAGGCGGCUUCCUGGCCUGUUCUUGACGCUGAGGCGCGAAAGCUAGGGUAGCAAACGGG